UGAAAGAAAACCUAAUAGAAAUUUUUUUCGUUCUGUGUUCGACUUCCUCAUCCCUUUUAUAUUUCCUCCCUUGUUCUUACAUAGGCAGAUGAAAGACAACAUGGGUCGAACAUUUUCAAGCGGUCGACUCUCUCAUCCCUUAUAUAUUUUCCUCCCCUGUUCUUAUAGAGGACACAAGUGGAGGAUGUGUGACCUUCGGAGAAGAAAAACAGUCAAUGUGCUAGGGAUCGGAACAGUUAAGCUACAGUUAACUUCUGGAAAGACUCUGAUCCUUCACAAUAUGCAGCAUGCCCCCGAGAUCUGACAGAACUUGAUCAGUGGAUCUUUAUCAGUGCAGUCAGGAUAUAAGAUUUUAUUAGAGUUCAAUAAAGUUAUAAUUUUUAGAGGGAAAAUAUUUAUUGCAAAAUAUUUGUAUUUGAGGGAUUGUUCAAACUGAAUGUAUUUUUUUUUGCUAAUAAUAAAAAUUCUUCUACUUUUACUUCUUCUA